AAUAAACGCUGGCGGCGUGCCUAACACAUGCAAGUCGAGCGGGAAAGCCCUUCGGGGUAAGUACAGCGGCGGACGGGUGAGCAACACGUGAGAAUCUGCCCUUUAGUGAAGAAUACUCCCGAGAAAUCGGGCAUAAUACUGCAUAAGUCCCUACGGGGAGAAAGAUGGCUUUAUGCUGUCGCUAGAGGAUGAGCUUGCGUACUAUUAGCUAGUUGGUAGGGUAAAGGCCUACCAAGGCGAUGAUGGUUAACCGGCCUGAGAGGGUGUACGGUCACACUGGAACUGAGACACGGUCCAGACACCUACGGGUGGCAG
rnacentral:rRNA from 1 species